ACACAUGUUAAGGUAAACAUGAUGGUACACAUCCUCAAAACCAGCAACUGGGUAGGCAGAGGCAGAUGGAUGUCUUCAAGUUCAAGGCCAGCCUGGUUUAUAUACAGGAGUUCUUAGUGAAACCCUCAUUCUACUUAGGUAGGUAGGUAGAUUGAUAUAGCUAUCUCUGAUUCAAAUGUAGUCAAAGUACAGAUUAAUCUAAAUUCUAACCCUUAUCCAGGACCACUCAGACCUGAGAACUGUUACCUAAUCUUAUGCUAAAUAAGAAAGAGGUCUGAGAGUUGCUGGGAGCCCUGCUGGGUUCUUUAGUCUCCUCAGAGCUCAGCAGGUGCCCUUCCGGAACUGGGUGGCCAGUGGCUGUGCUAACAGCAGGCCCUUUUCAAUCCACAGGCAGAGAAUGCGACAUCCUUUCUCCUGAUGUUAAGAAAAUAACUCUCUAGCAGAAGUCACAUCUUAAGUGAUCAUUGGGUGUUUUUUGUUUUAUUUUUUUUUUUUUUUUAUUAAAGCCUCAAAGCAAGAUGAAAGAUUGAAUUUAAGUAGAAUUAGCAAUGACAGUCUUUUCUGUAAUUUAUAAUGAGAAAAAAAAAGUGUCCCCAAAGUGAUGGUUAGUUAAAUACUGUAGUAAGGAGAGAAAUCCAUUGAGACCUCAGGAUAAUAAGCAGGGGUGAGCAGGAAGGUGACACUGUUCAUUUCUGUGACAUUUCUGGCUAAACAAGCUUUUGUAGACCCGCUGGGAAUGUAACCACUAUUUCCAUGGGAAAAUAAAUUCCAGGUUCCAGACAAGUAAUUUAGAGAUGUUGUGGAACACGGCAACUAAUAAGUUUAGACUCCUGUGCUCCAGAGUCCCCAUCACUCCAUUUUGAUAGAUGGCCAAAGUUCAGUAGUAAGGGGAGAUGGGGUAAAUCCACUCCUGUGGGUAAAAUGAAGAUUAACUCUGACCAUAGCUCAGAGGAGAAGACUGCCAAAGACAGAAACGAUUGUAGUACAGAGGAAAGGGAAACCUCUGCGACUCAAAUGAGACCAUUCACCUUUAUUCUGUAUGUAGUGCAGCUCCUGGGUGUCACGUGAUAUUAUAGAUAUUUGUGGUUUGUUUUAUUUAGUUUUUCUUUUAAGAUUUUAUUUAUUUUAUAUAUGUGAUGAGUACACUGUAGCUAUCUUUAUACUCCAGAAGAGUGCAUCUGAUCUCAUUACAGAUGGUUGUGAGCCACCAUGUGGUUGCUGGGAUUCGAACUCAUGACCUCUGGAAGAGCAGUCAGUGCUCUUAACCCCUGAGCCAUCUCUCCAGCCCAUUUAGUUUUGUUUUGCUCUAGUAAGAGAAAAACGGUCUCGGACUAGCCUGGGAUUAACUCUGUCAAUCAGACUGGCCUGGAAACUGGCAAUCCUUGAGUCCCAGACUCCCAAGUGUUAUUACCGGCAUUCAUUAACCAUCAUGUCUAGCUGUUUUUUGUUUGUUUGUUUUUUUUAAAGACUUAAAACCAGCUGGGGGUGGGGGGGUGGUGGCGCACGCCUGUAAUCCCAGCACUCUGGGAGGCAGAAGCAGGCGGAUUUCUGAGUUCGAGGCCAGCCUGGUCUACAGAGUGAGUUCCAGGACAGCCAGGGCUAUACCAAGAAACCCUGUCUCGGAAAAACCCAAAUUCAAAAAACCAAAAAACAACAACAACAACAAAAAAAAAGGUGUUGUGGUUUAACCGAAAUGCCACACCACACGCUAUCAUACUUACUGGGCUUUUUUUGCCCACUGAUAACCUUGUAGGAAGUGAUUAGAUGAUAAGGGUUCAGACUUUGUAGGUGGAUUGAUCCACUGGUUGUUCAUAAUCUGAUAGCAUUAUUGAGUUCAGAUUGGAAGCAGCGGGCCACUGACAGACUGCCAAGAGGAUAUGUAUCUUGUCCCCAGUUCCUGGCUGCCUGGAUAUAAGCAGCUUUACCCGUACACCCAUCUACCAUGAUGCUCUACCUCACUAUGGCCUAGACACCUCUGAGACAGUGAGCCAAAAUAAAUCUGCCUACCUUUUCAAUUGUUUCUGGAAUUUGGCAAAUCAAAGGAAGUCUAAACACAACUGGGUUGAUCCUAAAGUCCAUGAAAGAAGAUUCUAAACAUUGUUUACCUAUGAGUCAAAAAGAAUGCUUGGAUCUAAAGAGAAAUGUUUAAGAAAGAAAGAAGGAAGGAGGUGCUGCAGAGAGGGAAGGAGGAACAAAAGGUGUCAGGGGGGUUUUGUUGACGUUGUCUUUGCUGUAUUUUGAGACAGGCUCAUACAGCCCACAAUGGCCUAAAACUCUAUUUGUAGCCAAGGUUAGCCUUGAAGUUUUGAUCCUUUGGCCUCCAUGUAUAGAAUCCUGGUGUUACUGGCGUGGACCAACAUGCCCGGUGAUGCAGGGCCAAUGAUAGGACUCUGGGCCUCGUGCCUGCCCCAUGAGAACUUUGCUGUUCCCAGUCAAGCUAUCUCCUCAGCCCCAAGAGGAGUACUUCUCACACAGUAAGCCCCAGUUGUUCAUAGCUUAUUUUAAAUAUUGGUACAAGUGGAAUUUGAUUCAAAGGGUAACUUUUUUUUUCUUUCCCUAGUUUUGCUAUCACUAUAGAUGGCUCUGAAACAUAACAAAAAUUUCGUAAGAAUGUCUUUCCUUAGCUGGCCAGUGGUGGCGCACGCCUUUAAUCCCAGCACUUGGGAGGCAGAGGCAGACAGAUUUCUGAGUUCGAGGCCAGCCUGGUCUACAAAGUGAGUUCCAGGACAGCCAGGGCUACACAGAGGAACCCUGUCUCAAAAAAACCAAAAAAAAAAAAAAAAAAGAAUGUCUUUCCUUAUACAAGUUUCCUUUCAAAUCAUUGGGUGUUUAGGGCUGGCAGGCGACAACACGUGGUGGGGACCCAAUCUUUCAACUGGGAAAAUAAAGUAAAUCUUCCUAUAGUCAUAAACCAUUUCUGUUUCCACAGGAGUUGUAUAUCUAUUCUAAAUGUAUUAGGAGCAAUUAUGUAAUUUACUACCAACAGAAUUUAUCCUUCAGAUGUUGCAACAAUGGGUCACCUCCGUUUGUGGUAGGACACACAGGUGCUUCCUGUUGCCCAGCCCAGGACGAUGUUAACAUCAACCUCAGAGAUGGCCGUUGGGCCAGCCUGGAGCCAAAUGGUAGCCACCGUUUCUGUAUUGAGGAGGAAUUCCUGAAUUAAGCAGGUGACCCACCCAGCUGCCUGAGCAGUCAAGACGAGGACCUCCAAGAGAAGCUAGACAACUUCCACCGGAACUCAGCCUGGAGUCUGGGGGGAAGGGUUUGCCCAAACUGUUAAAAGGUCUGGCGCCAUUAAAGUUUCUGGCUUUGAUCAGUGAA